rnacentral:ncRNA from 2 species
UUCUUCGGGGCAGGGUGCAAUUCCCUACCGGCGGUAUAGCCCGCGAACCGCGUUUUUGCGGCCGAUUCGGUGAAAUUCCGGAGCCGACAGUAUAGUCUGGAUGAAAGAAGA